AUUGAACGCUGGCGGCAUGCCUUACACAUGCAAGUCGAGCGGAACUGGGGGAGCUUGCUCCUUCCAGUUUAGCGGCGGACGGGUGAGUAACACGUGGGCAACCUGCCCUGCAGAUCGGGAUAACUCCGGGAAACCGGUGCUAAUACCGAAUAGUUUGGCGCCUCUCCUGAGGCGCUACGGAAAGACGGUUUCGGCUGUCACUGCAGGAUGGGCCCGCGGCGCAUUAGCUAGUUGGUGGGGUAACGGCCCACCAAGGCGACGAUGCGUAGCCGACCUGAGAGGGUGACCGGCCACACUGGGACUGAGACACGGCCCAGACUCCUACGGGAGGCAGCAGUAGGGAAUCUUCCGCAAUGGACGCAAGUCUGACGGAGCAACGCCGCGUGAGUGACGAAGGUUUUCGGAUCGUAAAACUCUGUUGUGAGGGAAGAACACGUACCAACUAACUAUUGGUACCUUGACGGUACCUCACCAGAAAGCCACGGCUAACUACGUGCCAGCCGCCGCAGUAA
rnacentral:rRNA from 1 species